ACGUAGGGGGCGAGCGUUAUCCAGAUUUACUGGGCGUAAAGCGCGUGUAGGCGGCUGGUUAGGUGUGAUGUGAAAUCCUCGGGCUCAACCCGAGAACUGCAUUGCAAACCGGCCUGGCUAGAGUGCAGGAGAGGGAAGCGGAAUUCCAGGUGUAGCGGUGAAAUUCGUAGAUAUUCGGAAGAACACCAGUGGCGAAGGCGACACACUGGCCCAUUACUGACGCUGAGGCUCGAAAGCCAGGGGAGCAAACGGGA
rnacentral:rRNA from 1 species